rnacentral:SRP_RNA from 1 species
GCUGGGCAUAGUGGCCCAUGCCUGUAGUCCCAGCUACCAUGGAGGCUGAGGCAGGAGGAUCGCUUGAGUCCAGGAGUGCUAGGCUGUAGUGUGCUAUGCCAAUCGGGUGUCCACACUAAGUUCAGCAUUAAUGUGAUCUCAUGGGAGCAGGGAAUCACCAGAUUGUCUAAGGAAGAGUGAACUGGCCCAGGUCGGAAAUUGAGCAGGUCAAAAUUAAGAAUUGGUGGGUCAACUGGUGACAUGGUGGAUAAGGCAGCUGGAUCCCACAUGACCAACUGCACAGUUUGAAUCCU